GGCCCCGUAGCUCAGGGGAUAGAGCGUCGGUUUCCUAAACCGUGCGUCGCAGGUUCGAAUCCUGCCGGGGCCACCA
rnacentral:tRNA from 3 species